AGGCUAGAUCAUAUAGGAGAAGAAAGGAUUAAUAGAUUGGAGAAAGAUAGGCUCUUGAGCUCAUUGACUUUAGAGUCUUAUCUAGCCUGUGAGUCCUACCUUCAAGAAAAAAUGAUCAAGCUAUCAUUUGUGAGACAAGGAGAAAAGACCAUAAAAAUACUUACUCUGGUACACAUUGAUGUGUGUGAUCCAUUUGAUAUGCU
rnacentral:lncRNA from 1 species